AGUGAACGCUGGCGGCAGGCCUAAUACAUGCAAGUCGAACGGCAGCACAGCAGAGCUUGCUCUGUGGGUGGCGAGUGGCGGACGGGUGAGGAAUACGUGGGAAUCUGCCCAGUCGUGGGGGAUAACGUAGGGAAACUUACGCUAAUACCGCAUGCGCCCUUCGGGGGAAAGCCGGGGACCUUCGGGCCUGGCGCGAUUGGAUGAGCCCACGUCGGAUUAGCUAGUUGGCGGGGUAAAGGCCCACCAAGGCGACGAUCCGUAGCUGGUCUGAGAGGAUGAUCAGCCACACUGGAACUGAGACACGGUCCAGACUCCUACGGGAGGCAGCAGUAGGGAAUAUUGGACAAUGGGCGCAAGCCUGAUCCAGCCAUGCCGCGUGAGUGAAGAAGGCCCUCGGGUUGUAAAGCUCUUUGGUCCGGAAAGAAAGCGCCGGGUUAAUACCCUGGUGUCCUGACGGUACCGGAAGAAUAAGCACCGGCUAACUUCGUGCCAGCAGCCGCGGU
rnacentral:rRNA from 1 species